rnacentral:rRNA from 1 species
UACAGAGGGGGCAAGCGUUAUUCGGAAUUAUUGGGCGUAAAGGGCGCGUAGGCGGCCUGGCAAGUGACGGGUGAAAGCCCUCGGCUUAACCGAGGAACUGCCUGUCAGACUGUAGGCUUGAGACCGGGAGAGGUGAGUGGAAUUCCCAGUGUAGCGGUGAAAAUGCGUAGAUAUUGGGAGGAACACCAGUGGCGAAGGCGGCUCACUGGACCGGAACUGACGCUGAGGCGCGAAAGCGUGGGGAGCAAACAGGG